rnacentral:rRNA from 1 species
AUUGAACGCUGGCGGCAUGCCUUACACAUGCAAGUCGAACGGCAGCGGACCUUCGGGUGCCGGCGAGUGGCGAACGGGUGAGUAAUGCAUCGGAACGUACCUUUCAGUGGGGGAUAACGUAGCGAAAGUUACGCUAAUACCGCAUAUUCUGUGAGCAGGAAAGCAGGGGAUCGCAAGACCUUGCGCUGAUUGAGCGGCCGAUAUCAGAUUAGCUAGUUGGUGAGGUAAAGGCUCACCAAGGCGACGAUCUGUAGCGGGUCUGAGAGGAUGAUCCGCCACACUGGAACUGAGACACGGUCCAGACUCCUACGGGAGGCAGCAGUGGGGAAUUUUGGACAAUGGGGGCAACCCUGAUCCAGCCAUGCCGCGUGAGUGAAGAAGGCCUUCGGGUUGUAAAGCUCUUUCGGCCGGGAAGAAAUCGUAUCAGCUAAUACCUGGUGCGGAUGACGGUACCGGAAUAAGAAGCACCGGCUAACUACGUGCCAGCCGCCGCGGUAAAAC